UCGAGCGAACAGAUGAGAAGCUUGCUUCUCUGAUGUUAGCGGCGGACGGGUGAGUAACACGUGGGUAACCUACCUAUAAGACUGGGAUAACUCCGGGAAACCGGGGCUAAUACCGGAUAAUAUUUUGAACCGCAUGGUUCAAUAGUGAAAGACGGUUUCGGCUGUCACUUAUAGAUGGACCCGCGCCGUAUUAGCUAGUUGGUAAGGUAACGGCUUACCAAGGCGACGAUACGUAGCCGACCUGAGAGGGUGAUCGGCCACACUGGAACUGAGACACGGUCCAGACUCCUACGGGAGGCAGCAGUAGGGAAUCUUCCGCAAUGGGCGAAAGCCUGACGGAGCAACGCCGCGUGAGUGAUGAAGGUCUUCGGAUCGUAAAACUCUGUUGUUAGGGAAGAACAAAUUUGUUAGUAACUGAACAAGUCUUGACGGUACCUAACCAGAAAGCCACGGCUAACUACGUGCCAGCAGCCGCGGUAAU
rnacentral:rRNA from 1 species